rnacentral:rRNA from 1 species
AGUCGACGAAGCACUUUGAUCGAUUUCUUCGGAUUGAAAUUUUAGUGACUGCGUUGCGGACGGGUGAGUAACGCGUGGGUAACCUGCCUCACACCGUGGGAUAACAGUUGGAAACGGCUGCUAAUACCGCAUAAGCGCACAGUACCGCAUGGUACAGUGUGAAAAACUCCGGUGGUGUGAGAUGGACCCGCGUCUGAUUAGCUAGUUGGCAGGGCAACGGCCUACCAAGGCGACGAUCAGUAGCCGACCUGAGAGGGUGACCGGCCACAUUGGGACUGAGACACGGCCCAAACUCCUACGGGAGGCAGCAGUGGGGAAUAUUGCACAAUGGGGGAAACCCUGAUGCAGCGACGCCGCGUGAGCGAAGAAGUAUUUCGGUAUGUAAAGCUCUAUCAGCAGGGAAGAAGAAAUGACGGUACCUGACUAAGAAGCACCGGCUAAAUACGUGCCAGCAGCCGCGGUAAUACGUAUGGUGCAAGCGUUAUCCGGAUUUACUGGGUGUAAAGGGAGCGCAGGCGGAAGGCUAAGUCUGAUGUGAAAGCCCGGGGCUCAACCCCGGUACUGCAUUGGAAACUGGUCAUCUAGAGUGUCGGAGGGGUAAGUGGAAUUCCUAGUGUAGCGGUGAAAUGCGUAGAUAUUAGGAGGAACACCAGUGGCGAAGGCGGCUUACUGGACGAUAACUGACGCUGAGGCUCGAAAGCGUGGGGAGCAAACAGGAUUAGAUACCCUGGUAGUCCACGCCGUANACGAUGAAUACUAGGUGUCGGAAAGCA